GUUGAACCCAUCUCGUGUUAUGAAUCGCAUGCACGAACACACAUCGGAUAAGGUACAUAUACCAUAAGGUUUACAUGCUAGUGGAAGAUCACAAGUGCUGUUCAGUGCUUGAAAUGAGGCCUUAAAAUUACCCGUGUCAGGAGGCUUGAAUUCCCAAUAGGCAUACUUCAAUUUGCCAGAGUUCAAGUAGAGCGCGAUCUUAUCGUUCUGGAUUUCAAAGGAAAAUGAUGAAUUGCUUGAGUUGGAGGGGAAAGAAGUCAAGCGAGUCGCAACGUUCAAUCUCUGUCCCCAAAGCAUUAUGUUUGUCGGGAAAUUGAAACUCUGCCAUUUGAUCAUGUUGAGAUCAUCUACUAACACUAGAUUGCCAGUUCUUAGCAAGUUUAGUCUCUGCAGAAAUACAGGUUCAAUAGCAGAAACAUUAGUGGCCUAAUGUUUGCAUUAGUUUGGAAAAAGAAACAUUUUGGAAACUACGUUUCAGAAAAACGUAAAGAAAAUAAAGGGAAAAAAAUGAAAUUGUUUGGAAAUAAAAACUAAAACAUAUCUAAAUGUUGAUACAUUCGAAAUAAUUGAAUAAUUAAACGUGUGUUGAGGUUUAUGAA